rnacentral:rRNA from 1 species
CAGUCGCCACGGUAAUACGUAUGUCACAAGCGUUAUCCGGAUUUAUUGGGCGUAAAGCGCGUCUAGGUGGUUAUGUAAGCCUGAUGUGAAAAUGCAGAGCUCAACUCUGUAUUGCGUUGGAAACUGUGUAACUAGAGUACUGGAGAGGUAAGCGGAACUACAAGUGUAGAGGUGAAAUUCGUAGAUAUUUGUAGGAAUGCCGAUGGGGAAGCCAGCUUACUGGACAGAUACUGACGCUGAAGCGCGAAAGCGUGGGUAGCAAACAGGAUUAGAUACCCCUGUGUCCCUGUCUCUUAUACAC